rnacentral:lncRNA from 1 species
GUGACACAAAAAGCGAACAGAUAUUUCCAAUCCAUCUUCAAAUUGAAUUCAGACGAGUGUGUUAGUUAGUCAUUGGCACAGUUCACUGACUCCGAACAGAUUUGUUAAGCUGGAAUAGCAUUUAAACGAGAGUUUCCAUUCCUGCGAGUGUGUCUGCAAUAUUUAAACAUCAUUGCAUUUCAAUUGCCAUGCAAAACGAACAGGAUUCCUAUUCCUAGUGCCAGAAUGGUAUUUAAUUGAAUUGUCGCUGGUCAAAGGCAGAAAUAUAAACAGAAAUAUAUACUCUCUCUCUCUCACUUUCUCUUUCUCUCUGUCGUUUGCUGUUUCAAUUGUUCAAAACCGUUUUUCCUGUUUGCUCCAUAAUGCACUUACUUGAAGCGUAAUGCCAUUACGCAUACGCACCGUUUGCUAAUUACACGAAACAUGUUCCACUACGGAGGGUAAACUUCUGCGAAAAGUUGC